GAUUUCAGCUGAAAAAGUCAUCAACAACAAAGUUAUAUAACUCAUCAAGAUCUUUAACUUUUAUUUUAGUCAUUUCUUCAUCCGACAAAGUGAUAAUAACAUAGUUCACAAAAUUUACAUAUCUCUUAUAUGGUUUUCUAAACUAUAAGAGAGAUAUGUAAAUUUUGUGAAAAUGUUACUAUCACUUUGUCGGAUGAAGAAAUGACCAAAAUAAAAGUUAUAGAUCUUGAUAAGUUAUACAACUUUUGUUGUUGAUGACUUUUUCAACUGAAAUU
rnacentral:pre_miRNA from 1 species